UGGGGAAUAUUGGACAAUGGGCGAAAGCCUGAUCCAGCCAUGCCGCGUGUGUGAAGAAGGCCUUCGGGUUGUAAAGCACUUUAAGCGAGGAGGAAUGGCUCUAGGUUAAUACCCUUGAGCAGUGACGUUACUCGCAGAAUAAGCACCGGCUAACUCUGUGCCAGCAGCCGCGGUAAUACAGAGGGUGCAAGCGUUAAUCGGAAUUACUGGGCGUAAAGCGCGCGUAGGCGGUUACGUAAGUUGGAGGUGAAAUCCCCGAGCUCAACUUGGGAAUUGCCUUCAAAACUGCGUGGCUAGAGUGUGGGAGAGGAAGGUAGAAUUCCAGGUGUAGCGGUGAAAUGCGUAGAUAUCUGGAGGAAUACCGAUGGCGAAGGCAGCCUUCUGGCCUAACACUGACGCUGAGGUGCGAAAGCAUGGGGAGCAAACAGGAUUAGAUACCCUGGUAGUCCAUGCCGUAAACGAUGUCUACUAGCCGUUGGGGGACUUGAUCCUUUAGUGGCGCAGCUAACGCAUUAAGUAGACCGCCUGGGGAGUACGGUCGCAAGACUA
rnacentral:rRNA from 1 species